UACAGAGGGUGCGAGCGUUGUUCGGAAUUACUGGGCGUAAAGCGCACGUAGGCGGCGAUUCAAGUCAGAGGUGAAAGCCCGGGGCUCAACCCCGGAACUGCCUUUGAAACUAGAUUGCUAGAAUCCUGGAGAGGCGAGUGGAAUUCCGAGUGUAGAGGUGAAAUUCGUAGAUAUUCGGAAGAACACCAGUGGCGAAGGCGACUCGCUGGACAGGUAUUGACGCUGAGGUGCGAAAGCGUGGGGAGCAAACAGG
rnacentral:rRNA from 1 species